rnacentral:tRNA from 1 species
UGGAAGGUUAAAUAAAGGAAUUCGGCAAAAUUAUUUUUCACCUGUUUAUUAAAAACAUGGCCUUUUGA